GUGAGGAAUUUUCCGCAAUGGGCGAAAGCCUGACGGAGCAAUGCCGCGUGAAGGAUGAAGGCCUAUGGGUUGUAAACUUCUUUUCUCAGAAAAGAAUUAUGAUGGUAUCUGAGGAAUAAGCAUCGGCUAACUCUGUGCCAGCAGCCGCGGUAAGACAGAGGAUGCAAGCGUUAUCCGGAAUGAUUGGGCGUAAAGCGUCUGUAGGUUGUUUAAAAAGUAUUCUGUCAAAGAUUAGGGCUUAACCCUAGAUAGGCAGAAUAAACUUUUAAGCUAGAGUUUGGUAGAGGCAGAGGGAAUUCCUGGUGGAGCGGUGAAAUGCGUAGAUAUCGGGAGGAACACCAAAGGCGAAGGCACUCUGCUGGGCCAAUACUAACACUGAGAGACGAAAGCGAGGGGAGCAAAUGGGAUUAGAUACCCCUGUAGUCC
rnacentral:rRNA from 1 species